GUGCCAGCCGCCGCGGUAAUACGUAGGGUGCGAGCGUUGUCCGGAAUUAUUGGGCGUAAAGAGCUUGUAGGCGGUUUGUCGCGUCUGCUGUGAAAAUCCGAGGCUCAACCUCGGACUUGCAGUGGGUACGGGCAGACUAGAGUGUGGUAGGGGAGACUGGAAUUCCUGGUGUAGCGGUGAAAUGCGCAGAUAUCAGGAGGAACACCGAUGGCGAAGGCAGGUCUCUGGGCCACUACUGACGCUGAGAAGCGAAAGCAUGGGGAGCGAACAGGAUUAGAAACCCUCGUAGUCC
rnacentral:rRNA from 1 species